GAUCCGCAUGGCACGGCUCAUACAAGCGCUAUUUCGGCCGCCGCGCUCAGCAAAGAGGGAAUCUGACCAUAUUACUAAGCGAUGCCCGCCGUCUCGGCGGAACGUUAGUAGAGCAGCCGGCAACGCUUGGAGCCUGCUUGCUCCCGAUUCAGACGACGUUCAAUGGUGGCGCUCCGGUGGCGAGCCCUGGUGAAUUGCGUGCGAACUGCUCGCUGUAAAAGGGCACUGCUCACAAGCUACACCGAAAUGUCAACAGCAAUCCGUGUGAACGGCCACUGUGAGACAUCUAGGGAAUGAUGUCACGGAGAUGGAGGCAAUGUUUUAUGUUUACCGAGAGAACCAUAUUGAGCGCAAUCGUAUGCAGAAAGACGUGUACGAUGCGAAGGACUUAAGCUUGACUAUUAUUCAGCAGUUUCAGUUUUGCGUCUGAUACCUAAUGAAAACAGAUGCACGCACCAGUAACGCAUGCUGCGAUUCGACAGAACAACAGCUGCCACGGUCACCAAAGUCUAGUAGGGUACGCAGAUGAAGCUUCUCUUUAAAAUGAACCCAGCUAAUUUUCUCUUUCAAAUACAGCGAAGAUGAAUUAUGCAGCGAAAGUGCAACAUAAUUCACUAGAUCAAGUGAUCAUCGCUUCAUCAUCUUCACACGACCUGUCGGUUUUGGAUGCUGUAUUGUACUGAAGUUCAUUGCCUUAUGAAUACAACCUCGUAGCGUAAUUUUUUUUCGUGGUGCCUUUCAUGGUAACGAAGUAACAAGUGCCGUGUGGAAAAUGCGCUAGACAAAGAAAAUAAACGGGCCAGUAUUUUGGUUGCCCAUUUUCCGUUUUGAA